GUAAAGGAGCAGGUGAUUGACAGGUUCACAGACUGACGGUCUGUCAGCGGAAGCCUGGCAAAAACACAACAAAAAACGAACACGGAGGAGAUAGAGAGGAGAACCGGAGUCACAGCCGAGGAUAAAGUAGAUCUGAAAAUGCUUGCGAGAGCAAAUCAUCUGUCACUUGAGGAGACUGAUGUUUCUGAAGCAAGAAUUGAGACACAUAAGACUGAUGAUUUUCCCAGUCACAAGAUGAAAGGAGAGUCACCAAAGAAACAGGGUCACCAAACUGGAGGUGCAUCAUUGGAUAAACAGGAAACUGGAAAUGUUGAGUCGACUAACAUGUUCUGUGAUGACUAUGAGGAUGUUCCCGAUCGCAAGAUGAAAGAUGAGUCACCAAAGAAACAGGAUCACCAAACUGGAGCUGCAUCAUCUGAUGAACAGGUGAAACUAAAGUUACUGAUUGAAUAUUCUACUUGGGGGAGCGGGAGGUCGGCGGAUCGAUCCCCGGUGACGGCAAAGGUUCGAAUUGGCCGGUUCCGCAGCUCGGACGCGGCGGGACAAAAGAAACGAUGAAAACAAAGCACGUUAACGGGAGGCUGUGCAGCAUCAGAUCCAGAACCAGAACCUCUAGAUUCCAUCUGCAUCUCAGUGAACAUCAGCUUCUAAUAGAACUCUUAUUCCAUGUUAGGAAUUUAACUUUUACAUUUAUACAGUCUGACUGAUGUCCUCAUCUACUCCUCAGUUAUAAUACUUAUUUAUCAUUAACUUUCAUGACUAAUAAUACUACUACCAGUAUUAUUAAUACUAAUACUACAACCGGUACUAAUAAUACUACUAAUAAUACUACUACCAGUAUUAUUAAUACUAAUACUACAACCAGUACUAAUAAUACUACUAAUAAUACUACUACCAGUAUUAUUAAUACUAAUACUAAUACUACAACCAGUACUAAUAAUACUACUAAUGAUACUACUACCAGUAUUAUUAAUACUAAUACUACAACCAGUACUAAUAAUACAACUAAUAAUACUACUACCAGUACUAUUAAUACUACUAUUAAUACUACUACCAGUACUAUUAAUCACUACUAAUAAUACUACUACCAGUACUAUAAAUACUACUACUAAUACUGCUACCAGUGCUAUUAAUACUACUACUAAUACUACUACCAGUGCUAUUAAUAGUACUAAUACUACCACUACCAGUACUAUUAAUUCCUCGGAUCAGUUUAAAAAUGAAGGAGAAAGUUUUAGUGAAUCUCAGUGAAAGUUUCUCAGAGGAACAUGUGAUCAGAAUCAGUAAAGUUCUGGUUCCGUCUCAGUGAACUGAGAUUAUUGAGGGCUUUCAGAUUCUGAUGUUUUCAUGGAUUAACCCUCGUGUCUUCCUGUGGGUCAAAAUUGACCUGUUUAAAAGUUUGAAGAUGUGGGAAAAAAUAUAUUUUCACGGGGAAACUUCUGAUGUCCACAUUUUCAACAUUUUUGGGAAAUCUUUGAACAUUUUUUGGUGGAAGAAAAGAAAUGUUAAAAAUGUUUCUUCAAGAACAUUCACAAAAAAUCAACCAAAAUCCAGCAAAUUUCGCAGGAUUUUUGUUGAUUUUUAUGUGAAUGUUCUUAAGAAAAUAUUAGAAGUUUUACUGAUAUAUAUGGAAUCACUUUAGAUAUUUUUAGGAUUUUUUGGAAGA
ensembl:lncRNA